rnacentral:tRNA from 1 species
GGUGUAGGUUAUGAGAGUGGUUGAGAGGCUUGGAGCUCCACACAGCUAUACGCCUGCUAAACACGCCUACACCGGGCCCCGCCCUUACACGGCGGAGGUCCGGGGUUCAAAUCCCCGCGGGCCCACCA